rnacentral:rRNA from 1 species
UGGCGGACGGGUGAGUAACGCGUGGGUAACCUGCCCUGUACAGGGGGAUAACAGUUGGAAACGGCUGCUAAAACCGCAUAACAUGGAGAUACCGCAUGAUAUUUCCAUCAAAUAUUUAUAGGUACAGGAUGGGCCCGCGUCUGAUUAGCCAGUUGGCAGGGUAAUGGCCUACCAAAGCGACGAUCAGUAGCCGGCUUGAGAGAGUGACCGGCCACAUUGGGACUGAGACACGGCCCAAACUCCUACGGGAGGCAGCAG